CAUCGUUUGUGUUUUGCACUACGUCAACUCAUGUCUCACUCAGCGAUGGCAGGAGGGCCGUGACACUGGAGGAGCCCUGCCUGACACCAUCUGUGCAGCCCUGGCUCUCCACGCUCACCGUCACAUGAUGACACACGCGUCAACGUACCGCCCGCAGGCGUGCAAGCAUACACACACACACACACACACACACACACACACACACACACACACACACACACACACACACCACACACACCACACACACCACACACACGUUUACAGUAGAUAUACACUACAUUUACAUUAACAACCCUCAGCAGAUGGUCUUAUAUAAACUGUCAGAGUGACUUAGCAUUAAUGAUUAAACCACCACUCAGUUCAAAUAAAGAUACUGUAGAUGAUCAA